GUUGCGUUGGCCUAAUGGUAAGGCGUCGGCCUCCGAUCAGCCGGAGAUUGAGGGUUCAAAUCCCUUGCGUGACU
rnacentral:tRNA from 1 species